GUUGGAUGCUUAACCAGCUGAGCCCCCCAGGCGCCCCGUUAUCUGACGUUUUGAUUCCAGGCCUCUAGGGGGUUAGGACACGGAACCAAACCAAUCUCCCUCUGAUUUGCCUGCAAGACCUGUGCAAGUAGGUAAGUCCGUGCCUUCCCAAGGACCACGGUGUCUGUCAUAGUUCCUGUCUUCCUUACUGUUGUACGACUAAGAGCUGUUACAGCGUGGGACAGGCAUCUGAGCAGAAUGGGGCUGCGGGCCCUGUGGGCACUGACUCAACACAGACGCUGCAACCUUGUGCCUAAGGUGAAUGGGUCAUACUGCAUAUUCUCGAAUGUGACACCCGCAUAAGGCCUUGGUGGCACCUUGUCUAAUUACAUCUUGGUAAAAAGGACCGAUUUCUAUUAAAACUAUGCAAAUAACUAAAUUUUA